rnacentral:rRNA from 1 species
AGUGAACGCUGGCGGUAGGCCUAACACAUGCAAGUCAAACGGCAGCACAGUAAGAGCUUGCUCUUACGGGUGGCGAGUGGCGGACGGGUGAGGAAUAUAUCGGAAUCUACUUUUUCGUGGGGGAUAACGUAGGGAAACUUACGCUAAUACCGCAUCCGCCCUACGGGUGAAGGCGGGGGAUCUUCGGACCUUGCGCGAUUGAAUGAGCCGAUGUCGGAUUUGCUGGUUGGCGGGGUAAAGGCCCACCAAGGCGGCGAUCCGUAGCUGGUCUGAGAGGAGGAUCGGCCGCACUGGAGCUUGGACACGGUCCAGACUCCUACGGGAGGCACCAGUGGGGAAUAUUGGACAAUGGGCGCAAGCCUGAUCCAGCCAUACCACGUGGGUGAAGAAGGCCUUCGGGGUGUAAAGCCCUUUUGUUGGGAAAGAAAAGCAGCAGGUUAAUACCCCGCUGUUCUGACGGUACCCAAAGAAGAAGCACCGGCUAACUUCGUG